rnacentral:lncRNA from 1 species
CCCGAAUUCCAAAUACCAAUUAAAUUAUUAAAAGAGAAAAAGCAAACUGGGCCCAAACGGCUUAAACCAAUGAGCCAAGUAACAGAAGCAUUAUCGAUUCUUGGGAGCUGAGAGUCGAAUCCAUCUAAGCUCACACCCUUUUCCACACUUGGGCCAAAGAAAUGACCCAAGCCUAGUGCCCGCAUCCAGUGCCCGCGUUUCAUUUCAACAGGUGGGCCUUUCACCUAAGGCCUACUUGACCAACGUCCGUACGGGUCAAGGAUCAAGUCCCAGCGACGGGAUAUCGAGCCCACUAGCAUCCAAAUCAUGGUCCAUAGUUAACAACAAUCAGUCAUUAUAAUUUACCAAACCAAAUUGUUCGACAUAAUUAACAGGUCUAUUAACUUAUUUCAAUUGUUUAAUAACCCCUUCCUGCAAUCAUCAAUUUCAAAAUCCUAACUCAAACCUGUUCAGUUAUUCUUAUUGAACUUUAGGGAAAUGACUGCAUAGGAACAGUACAAUGAUUAACUAAACUAACAGCUAACUAAAAUUAAAUGCACAUUCGAAUAUCCAGUUAAAAUUAUACACAACCCUCAUAUUCACCACUGCCAAGCUUGAUUCAAAUUACACAGCUCAGAUUUAUUUACAUAUAAAUUAGAUUCAAACAUAUUAGGCAUACUAUAUCUAAACAUGUAACGGUCUGGACAAAAUCAACUCAGAAAUCAAGUGUUUUCAUUUCGUUCCACUUCAAGGCUACAUCAAGCUUAGUUUGUAUAUGUACCUGGAAGUGCAAAACAGCAAAAAGAAGAAAGGGAAGGGUCAGCAGCAGUUCAAAACAGCCCAACCAGAGCAUCAAGAAACAACAGCAACCCCAGAUGCAGGCAAAAUGGACCCAAAAAUGUUCAACCCAAGCUUAGAAACAAACAGAUCAACCCAGAAAACACACACGAACAACUAGAACCCAGCAAACACUACCAGAAACUUGAAAUCUGAUAAAAAACAGCUUGAAAUUGAAACCCAAACAGCAGAUAGCAAGAGAUCUCAACUGAAACAACCUUCAAACCAAUGGAACAGCCAUUUUGAUUUUCCAUUUUUUGAAUGUUUUUUUUAUUUUUUUUAGUUCUGAACUAAAGGCUGACUGAAACUUAUCAGAGAAAAGAAAAUAAAAGAGCUUUUUUAUGGGGAUUUUGGGCUAAAAGGUUGAAAACCCUUUUACAAGGCACUUAAUGCCUUUAUAUAGGCAAAGAAGAAAGAAAAAUCAGCAAAAAGGUUUUUCAAAUCAGUCCCUCUUCUUUUAUUUAAAACCUUAUAAUUCUAACUUGCUAACCAAGUAAGUACUAUUAAAAAGUUGAAAGCUACACUUUUACCCUAUUCUAGAAGGGUCUAGGAUGCUCUUUUGGCAACGCAAUUCCUAAACUACCCUUCCCUUGUUAUACAAUUACAAAUACUAAAGAUUCUACCCUUUUCUAUCCCUAAAAAGCCCUUGAAACCCCCCUGAAAUUACUGACUGUACCUAACCUCACCCAAACCUUACCCCUUAGCUAAAACUAACUAAGGUUACCUAAAGAGUUGUUCAGCUAUAACCAACAUAAUUCUUCAUUAACACUAAGAUUGAACAACUUAACACUAACUGAAACCACUACCCAAACAACUUCCAAAUCCAAGUCAAACCAGUCUAAUUAACUAACAAUCCAAACUAAUUAAUCAAACGACAGUAAUUAACAACAUGAAAAUCCAUUAAGCUGACAACUAAUAUAAAACCAUCAGAUAAACAGAAAGGAAGAAGUAGAACAAUCUAAGCAGGCAUCAACAUGCUAUCCUUAACACUUCUAUUAGACUAAUAACUAAUAUUAUCUAUAAACGACAUAAAAAUAUGGUUGAUAAACAACUAAUCCGACUAACUAUGCUAACUAUAAAUCAAAACUUUUAAAAUUCUACUGCCAAUUAAACGAUUAAGCUGACAACACAUAACAACACCAAUUAAAAUCACCUACUUAAGAUUUAACCUAAAACAAAUGAAAACAAAAUCAGACUAACUAACAGUUUCCACAAUCAAUCGAAUCAACAGAGAAGAAGAAGAACAAAAAGAAACUAUUAAACUGUGCAAACUAAAGCCAUAACACUAAAAAACUUACCGUAAAAGAAAAUCCCCAAACAACUUCCAAACUUGACGAACCCUAGAUGUGGACUUGAGGGCGGCCCGUUGAGAUUUGAAGUAAAAUGACCAUAGACUCGAGAUGAGGAAAACCCGUAGACUAUAAAGUAUCAAUUUGGUCUUGUUUGGAUGAGUUUGUGACUUAGCCGCAAAUUUCGAUUCGAUUUUCAAAACGUUUGGUUGAUAUUCGAAGGCUAAUAGUUACAUAUUUGGACUGAGGGAGUCGAGGUAGUUCAGGGGUGUGAUUUUCGUGGUGAUUGGAGGCGGCGGCGCCACCGGCGGCUUGGGGAUUUAAGGGCGGUGCCAUUAGGGUUCUUGAAGAUGGGGGGAAUGAAGGAGACGAUGAGGGG